GACGAACGCUGGCGGCGUGCUUAACACAUGCAAGUCGAACGGAAAGGCGCUGCUUUUGUGGGGUGCUCGAGUGGCGAGCGGGUGAGUAACACGAGAGUAACCUGACCUUGCCUUUGGGAUAACUUAAGGAAACUGGGGCUAAUACAGGACAGGAGCUCCUGCGGCUGGGGGGGGGUUGGAAAGUGUCGGCGGUUGGGUAUGGGCGGGCGGGUGAUGAGCUUGUUGGUGGGGUAGUGGCUUACAACGGCUUUGACGGGUGGCCGGCCUGAGCGGGUGACCGGCCACGUUGGGACUGCGAUACGGCCCAGACUCCUACGGGAGGCAGCAGUGGGGAAUAUUGCACUAUGGGCGGAAGCCUGAUGCGGCAGCGCCGCGUGCGGGAUGACGGCCUUCGGGUUGUAAACCGCUUUCGCCUGUGACGAAGCGUGAGUGACGGUAAUGGGUAAAGAAGCACCGGCUAACUACGUG
rnacentral:rRNA from 1 species